rnacentral:rRNA from 1 species
GGAGGAUCCGAGCGUUAUCCGGANUNACNGGGUNUAAAGGGAGCGNAGGNGGACNGUCAAGUCAGUCGUGAAAGUUUGCGGCNCAACCGUAAAANCGCAGUCGAAACUGGGAGNCUUGAGUACAGUAGAGGUGGGCGGAAUUCGUGGUGUAGCGGUGAAAUGCUUAGAUAUCACGAAGAACUCCGAUNGCGAAGGCAGCUCACUAGACUGUCACUGACACUGAUGCUCGAAAGUGUGGGUAUCAAACAGGAUUAGAUACCCUGGUAGUCCACACAGUAAACGAUGAAUACUCGCUGUUUUGCGAUAUACAGUAAGCGGCCAAGCGAAAGCAUUAAGUUUUCCACCUGGGGAGU